GGGGAUAUGGCGAAAUCGGUAGACGCUACGGACUUAAUUGAAUUGAGCCUUGGUAUGGAAAUACACUAAGUGAUAACUUUCAAAUUCAGAGAAACCUGGAAUUAAUAAAAAGGGGCAAUCCUGAGCCAAAUCCCGUUUUCCGAAACCAAAGGUUCAAAAAGGGAAAAAGGAUAGGUGCAGAGACUCAACGGAAGCUGUUCUAACAAAUGGAGUUGGUUGUGUUAGUAGAGAAAUCUUUCCAUCGAAAAUUCCGAAAGGAAAAGGUGAAGGAUAAACGUAUAUAUGUAUUGAAUGCUAUAUCAAAAGAUUAAUGACGACUCGGCUGAAUCUGUAUUUUUUAUUUUUAUAUGAAAACAGAAGAAUUGGUAUGAAUAGAUUCCACAUUGAAGAAAGAAUCGAAUAGUCAUUAAUCAAAUGAUUCACUCCAUAGUCUGAUAGAUCUUUUCAAGAAUUGAUUAAUCGGACGAGAAUAAAGAUAGAGUCCCGUUCUACAUGUCAAUGUCGGCAAGAAUGAAAUUUAUAGUAAGAGGAAAAUCCGUCGACUUUUAAAAUCGUGAGGGUUCAAGUCCCUCUAUCCCCAA
rnacentral:ncRNA from 1 species